rnacentral:piRNA from 1 species
UACUUGAGUGUUAUCAAAGGCCUUCUCUGU